CUCUCUCACUCACGCACAAGACCCCCUCUCUCUCCACUCCCCGGAACCCUAGCCCCUCUUCUUUCUCUCUCCCAGCCAACAGCAGCAGGAGCCACCGCCCAGUGCCCAACGCCGUCGUCGCCGACGAACUCGUCUCCUCAGCCAGCGUCCAGCCUCGUCGUCGCCGAUCCUCUCCUCCUGGAAACCAUCUCCUCGCGUCGCUAGGUCUCAUCGCCGAACGGAUAGAGGGUGCUGUCGCCGCCGGGUGGAACUGACCGUGGUGGCAUCAAGAAUCGUCGCCUGUGGAAGGUGAAGGUAUACUCGUCGCUGUCAUCGUUUCUCUUCCCCUCGCCGUCGUCUCUCUCUGUCGCCGUCGAGCCCUCUCUCUGUGUUGCCGUUGAGCUCUCGAUCUCUCUGUGUCGCCGUCGAGCUCAACGACCGUUCCUCCGUGAGUGGCAAGUUCAUGCGGAGGUUCAGGCUCCCUGAGAACGGCAAGAUGGAUCAGGUGAAGACAUCCAUGGAGAAUGGUGUUCUUAUUGUCACUGUUCCCAAGGCAGAAGUUAAGAAACCUGAUGUUGAGCCCAUUCAAAUCACUGGUUAAACAAUAUAAUUUUUCUUAAUCCCCCUUCUGGUUUUCAAGCCUGUGUUUGGGUUUUGUUGUGAAUUGUGAUUGCCUAAUAUCUAUGAUGUUCAUGUCCUAGAAAUAUAAAUCAUGUAGUAGUGGUAAGUAAGAAAGCAAGAUUAUUAUGAUAUGAGGUGUCAUCAAGUAUGUAGUGCACGAAUGGAACUUUUUCUGUGGCUGUGCUUUGAAAAUCCUAUCUAUGAUGAAAAUCUUGAAACUAA